CAGAGUGAGCUUGACUCAUCAUGGUACAAAGCCUUUAACCAUCAGAAGGAAGUGGGAAUUAUGGGGGCAUGGCUGGUAUUUGACUCUGUCCCCUGGCCCCUGGCUCCUGAAUGCUUGCCUUGGUUCUAAGCAGAGAAAGGACUGAGAAGUAAAAUGGCAGGGCUGUUUCUGGAACACACUAAUUCACAGGCAGCCCUGCUUAGUUUGACUUCCCACACCUGUUCCCCAUAGGAAACCACUGGUUCUCAUAGUUACCAGUUGGCCCCUCUCUAAUCCCUAGCAUGUCAUUUUCAUGAGGAAAAAAUGGAAAACAAAGUUCUCCUACAAUAACUAGAAAUUUCCAGAGGUUAAUAAUUUUGGAAGCAUAUUCUUCUGGAUAUGUAUGUAGUCUUUUAUUAGUUCUAGCCGUUUUUCAUCAGAUUUUUAAAGUUUUUUCUGGGUAAACAAUCAUGAUUUGCAAGUAAUAAUUAUACUGACACCUAA
rnacentral:lncRNA from 1 species